AUUGCUUCUCGGCCUUUUGGCUUAGAUCAAGUGUAGUAUCUGUGGCUUGUAAGCUCCACAACAGUGGCCAGGAGGAUCCCAGUGCCAGAGACCCCUG
rnacentral:snRNA from 1 species